rnacentral:ncRNA from 2 species
CAAAGAAUUGGGGAUGGCGUCCCCCAUAAAUCGCCUCUAAAGUCUUUAGGGGCUGAUGACGCCUACCUCUCA